rnacentral:rRNA from 1 species
GAUGAACGCUAGCGGGAGGCCUAACACAUGCAAGCCGAGCGGUAUUGUUUCUUCGGAAAUGAGAGAGCGGCGUACGGGUGCGGAACACGUGUGCAACCUGCCUUUAUCUGGGGGAUAGCCUUUCGAAAGGAAGAUUAAUACUCCAUAAUAUAUUGAUUGGCAUCAAUUAAUAUUGAAAGCUCCGGCGGAUAGAGAUGGGCACGCGCAAGAUUAGCUAGUUGGUGAGGUAACGGCUCACAAAGGCGAUGAUCUUUAGGGGGCCUGAGAGGGUGAGCCCCCACACUGGUACUGAGACCCGGACCAGACUCCUACGGGAGGCAGCAGUGAGGAAUAUUGGUCAAUGGGUGCAAGCCUGAACCAGCCAUCCCGCGUGAAGGACGACUGCCCUAUGGGUUGUAAACUUCUUUUGUAUAGGGAUAAACCUACCCUCGUGAGGGUAGCUGAAGGUACUAUACGAAUAAGCACCGGCUAACUCCGUGCCAGCAGCCGCUGUAAGAC